rnacentral:misc_RNA from 1 species
GAAAGAUGUGUAAGUACACUUCAACAUCCAGGUUAGCUCAACACCUAGGGAAGACAUAAGCAUAAGCACAACAAGACUCAGAACCUAUACAGUCUUAUUUGACUACAGCUCAAAGAUGUACCAAGCACAUGGAGAACAUAUACAAACAUACUACCAGAAUCUUAAGAAAUCAUGAAGCAAAAACAACUCUUAAAAAGAAAAGAUAUAUAGCUAACCAGAAGAGACAAGUUGGUAAUUUGGUAUUGUAUGGCUUUGGCUUUGCAAUUGUCCACACACACA